CUCUCACCCCUUGGUCUCUUUGCCUUGCAGUUGCCCCCCAGCGGUCCCGGAAAAAGCGCUGUCCCUAUACCAAGUACCAGAUCCGCGAACUGGAACGCGAGUUUUUCUUUAACGUGUACAUAAACAAAGAGAAAAGACUUCAACUCUCUCGGAUGCUCAACCUCACUGACCGGCAAGUCAAAAUCUGGUUCCAGAAUCGCAGGAUGAAAGAAAAGAAACUGAACAGAGACCGUCUGCAGUAUUUCACUGGAAACCCCUUAUUUUGAGAGCUCCAGGAAGCGCCCCCUCCCCAGCCCCACUCACCCACCCUCCUUCCCACCAGCCUGCUCUCCGCAGGCCCAAUGUCCUUGGGUUUAAUGACGUCUCUUCUCUGUGGAACUUCACGAUUCCUUCCCACGGUCAACUCGGGACCUCCCAGCGACCACUGCAGCCUGCGGACGAGGCCGGGACUUGGCCGAGCGGAUCCUAAUAAGGGGAAAAUGGGGCCUGGAGAUCCACACGAGGGCGCGCUCACGUUCCAGAAGCCGCCUUUGACCAAGAGGCCGCGGUACCUUAUCUGUCCAAUACUGGAUUCUAAUAGGCAACCUCAACCCCUUGGAAACAGGCGGCAGCUAAGAGGAAAUCAAGUCUGAUACACCAACCAGCAAUUGGCUCACUGCAAAGAGUGGCAGAAAGAAGAGGUGCCCUUACACUAAGCACCAAACGCUGGAAUUAGAAAAAGAGUUCUUGUUCAAUAUGUACCUCACCCGCGAGCGCCGCCUAGAGAUCAGUAAGAGCGUUAACCUCACCGACAGGCAGGUGAAGAUUUGGUUUCAAAACCGCCGAAUGAAACUCAAGAAGAUGAGCCGAGAGAACCGGAUCCGAGAACUGACCGCCAACCUCACGUUUUCUUAGGUCUGAGGC
rnacentral:sRNA from 1 species